AUCCUCCAAGGCUAAAUACUCCUGACUGACCGAUAGUGAACCAGUACCGUGAGGGAAAGGCGAAAAGAACCCCGGCGAGGGGAGUGAAAAAGAACCUGAAACCGUGUACGUACAAGCAGUGGGAGCAUCCUUCGGGGUGUGACUGCGUACCUUUUGUAUAAUGGGUCAGCGACUUAUAUUCUGUAGCAAGGUUAACCGAAUAGGGGAGCCGAAGGGAAACCGAGUCUUAACUGGGCGUUAAGUUGCAGGGUAUAGACCCGAAACCCGGUGAUCUAGCCAUGGGCAGGUUGAAGGUUGGGUAACACUAACUGGAGGACCGAACCGACUAAUGUUGAAAAAUUAGCGGAUGACCUGUGGCUGGGGGUGAAAGGCCAAUCAAACCGGGAGAUAGCUGGUUCUCCCCGAAAGCUAUUUAGGUAGCGCCUCGUGAACUCAUCUUCGGGGGUAGAGCACUGUUUCGGCUAGGGGGUCAUCCCGACUUACCAACCCGAUGCAAACUGCGAAUACCGAAGAAUGUUAUCACGGGAGACACACGGCGGGUGCUAACGUCCGUCGUGAAGAGGGAAACAACCCAGACCGCCAGCUAAGGUCCCAAAGUCAUGGUUAAGUGGGAAACGAUGUGGGAAGGCCCAGACAGCCAGGAUGUUGGCUUAGAAGCAGCCAUCAUUUAAAGAAAGCGUAAUAGCUCACUGGUCGAGUCGGCCUGCGCGGAAGAUGUAACGGGGCUAAACCAUGCACCGAAGCUGCGGCAGCGA
rnacentral:rRNA from 1 species